UUCAGUGCAUCUCCCAAAUUUCCAUGGCAACCACCUCUCACUGGCUCAACUCAAUUCGCCAAAUAACCAUGCUGAAACAGUUCAUAAAGCAAUGGAAGCGCGCAGCCCUCCUCUCUCCCUCACAAUACUCGUCUAAUUCCGGUUCAAGCCGUCACAUUCCCUCCGGUUUCCUGGCGGUCUACGUUGGACAAAACCGCAUGAGAUUCUUGAUCCCAGUCCGAUUUCUGCACCUUCCAAUCUUUAUAGCCCUUCUUGAAAAAGCAGAAGAAGAAUAUGGUUUCAAGUUCAGCGGAGGCAUUGUUUUGCCUUGUGAGGUAGACUUGUUCAAGCAAGUGUUGAGGUUCCUUGAUAAAGAUGAGAAGAAGUACGGGCGUUUACG
rnacentral:misc_RNA from 1 species